CCAUAGCCUGAGAAUUAACAAAUUUGGCAUGACGAAGAUUUUUGAUGCGAUAAAUGCGUCUUUGAUACUUUCACGCAGAAAAAGAAUGGGGGAUGGUUUCAACAAAACGUUUUGUUAUUUUAUUUAUUCUUUUAAAAGCAGAUUUUUGGAUGGCAUUCAUAAAAAAUUGGAAUAUGAAUAAACGAGAAAUUUUGUUGUUUUUACACGCUCAUUAUUUUUUGCCUCAAAUUCAAAUUUGGUUUUUAUUUAAUACCAAUAUUAGGUUUAUUCGAUGAACGUGUGACUCAAAAACGAUAAACGAAAAAAAAGAAAAAAAAAGAUGAAAAUUUCUCAGCUUCCGAACACAACAGCUGGAGAAACCGUCGAGGAGGCCCAGGAGGACAAAGAAUGCGGCUGUAAAGAUGCUUCGACUCAAAGCGUGCCACCUACCUUUCCGCUAAACUGUAUGCAAUCGAGCUGCUGGAGUAGGUGUUGGCCGUCGGGGAACGCAUCGGAUCGUCCAGUGCGUAGCCACAUCGCACAUCUGGUACACAAUGAACAUCUCCACCAGGGAGGCGAAGAGCAACCCGACCACGGUCUUCCCGAUGGCAGCCGCUAGGAUGCUCGCCUGCGUAAAGAAACUAGCGGUUCAGUCCUCGAUGUUGGCGUUCAUAGUUAGGACGCAGCAGCCGUCCUACGGGUCCGUCGGCGUAAUGUCUUUCGUCUGGCUCCGGCUCAGGGUCAGGCCGACCCUGCGAAGCAACUAGCUCUAUACCGAUUCAGAUAAAAUAAUCUAUUUUGUAGUUAGUGAACAAUUUCAAUAAAAUUUUUUUUAAAAUGUGAUUGAUCUUUUUAAAAUAGAAAUAAAAAAAUGCUAGACCACA